rnacentral:rRNA from 1 species
UACAGUGGUCUCAAGCGUUGUUCGGAUUCAUUGGGCGUAAAGGGUGCGUAGGCGGCGCGGUAAGUCGGGUGUGAAAUCUCGGAGCUUAACUCCGAAACUGCAUUCGAUACUGCCGUGCUUGGGGACUGGAGAGGAGACUGGAAUUUACGGUGUAGCGGUGAAAUGCGUAGAUAUCGUAAGGAAGACCAGUGGCGAAGGCGGGUCUCUGGACAGUUCCUGACGCUGAGGCACGAAGGUCAGGGGGGCAAACGGG